rnacentral:lncRNA from 1 species
AUUCUUCAUGAGCUUUUCCUUCUUCUUCCUUUCUUCCUCUUCUUUUCUUCUUCCUCUUCCUCUAUUCCUCUUUCUUUUUUUCUUUCUCUUCUCUUAUUCUUUUCUCUUAUUUCCCCUUUCUUUCUGAUACCUCUCUUUCUCUUCCUACCUACUCUUCCUUUCUAUCUUCAUUCUUAUCCACUUCCUCUUUCUUUUCAAUCCCCACCACAUAAUAUACAUACAUAAUAUAUAAUUAUAAUAU